GUCCACUUCAUUAACAUUCACAUCUGUUUUAACUUCCAAGGGUGGUGUCCCUGCUGAGCACUCCCAGAAAGUUUCAGGAAGCAGAAGCAGAGACUUUGUGCACGGCCAGAGAAGAUGAAGCAUUCUGCAUCCAUCAUCUCUGCACACUGGCUCAGGGUUUCCAGGCCAUUUGUGGCCCUGGUUGUUUUCCCCUGCUGCCAGAUUUAAACUCCAGCCUCUGGAGCAGUGGAUAAUCCAGCCUGUGCACGGAGUUCCACGGUCAGGAGGAAACCAGAGCUGCCAGCAGGAUUUCAGCAGUUUUUAGCCAUGGAUCCUCCAACCUCAGAGUGCUGUCCUGUUGCAGGAGGUGUUCCUGUUUUCCCUGACAUCCUCCACUGCUGGCUCGUUUCAGGGACACGUUUUCAGGGUAUUCCUGCUCUGACAGGGCAUCCUGAAGAGCUGUGUUUCCCUCAGCGUUCUCAGGACAGAUCUCCUUAUUCUGAAUCCUCAUAAUCUUAAACCAAAGAGAACGAAGCAUUAAGGCAGAAUUGGGGUUAUUUGACAUCACCUGAUUCCAUCAUAGAAGGAGCUGUAGGAGACCAGCGCUCUGGAAAACUUCCAAGAAAAUGAAUCAUUUGUAGAUUUCAGUGUAAGAGCUGAUUUACACCUCAAAGUAGACUAUUUCUCCUGGAGCUCUGGGUUUAUCAGUUACCAGCAUCCUUUCAGCAGCAAAAAAAGGGAGUGUGGAAGGAUCUCAUCCCAACCCAGAAAUCCCAACUCCUGUCCUAGUUUAAGGUGUAGUUACCAAUCUAUUGAUACCUACCUGUACAGUUUCCUUCUUAAAGGCUUUGGAAUGGUUAAUUCACACUGCUGGGAUUCUUUAUUGCAGCUGAGUUCAUUUGUCUGUUCCUUCACUGAAAGGGUGC